GUGAUCAUACCAGCACUAAUGCACCAGAUCCCACAUGAACUCCGCAGUAAAGCGUGCUUGGGCGAGAAUAGUACUAGAGUGGGUGACCCCUUGGGAAGUCCACAUGUUGCACAGCUU